CUAAGAGCAGAGAGGAUAACCAGUGAAGAUGGAUCAGAAGUGAGAAUCCUAGGUUUUUGGAGUAUUUUGGUACUGUCUUCCCUGGCUGGAGUUCUUUGUUACAGUUUCUCCUGGACCCUAACCUACUUUGACUCUUUUGAGCCAGGAAUGUUUCCCCCAACUCCUCUUUCCUCAGCCAGACUCAAGUGAGCCUAUUUUAUCUCUUAGCACACAUUAAAUCACCAAACCAUAUUCUCUGAAGCAAAAAUAAUAAUAAUAAUAAUAAUGUUCCACACUGCCAAUAGAGUACUGCGGAUAAGUUUGCAUAGCCCUUGCAGAACAUGCAAGAUGUUAAUAAUUUUAGCAAAAUAUGAAGGAAUAAAAAUUACGUGUUAUUCA